rnacentral:rRNA from 1 species
AUUGAACGCUGGCGGCAGGCCUAACACAUGCAAGUCGAGCGAGCGGCGGACGGGUGCGUAAUGUAUGGGGACUGCCCGAUAGAGGGGGAUCACUACUGGAAACGGUAGCUAAUACGGCAUACUAUCGGAUAACCCAUAGUGGAUUAGCUAGUAGGUGAGGUAAUGGCGAACCUAGGUGACGAUCCCUAGCUGGUCUGAGAGGAUGAUCAGCCAGCCUGCGCCUGAUAGACGGCCCAGACGCCUACGGAGGCAGCAGUGGGGAAUAUUGCACAAUGUGCGCAAGCCUGAUGCAGCCAUGCCGCGUGUAUGAAGAAGGCCCUAGGGUUGUAAAGUACUUUCAGUCGGGAAGCGUUACCGACAGAAGAAGCACCGGCUAACUCCGUGCCAGACGCCGCGGUAAUAC